rnacentral:rRNA from 1 species
CCUACGGGAGGCAGCAGUGGGGAAUAUUGCACAAUGGGGGGAACCCUGAUGCAGCGACGCCGCGUGAAGGAAGAAGUAUUUCGGUAUGUAAACUUCUAUCAGCAGGGAAGAAAAUGACGGUACCUGACUAAGAAGCCCCGGCUAACUACGUGCCAGCAGCCGUGGUAAUACGUAGGGGGCAAGCGUUAUCCGGAUUUACUGGGUGUAAAGGGAGCGUAGGCGGCAGUGCAAGUCAGAAGUGAAAGCCCAAGGCUCAACCAUGGGACUGCUUUUGAAACUGUACAGCUAGAUUGCAGGAGAGGUAAGUGGAAUUCCUAGUGUAGCGGUGAAAUGCGUAGAUAUUAGGAGGAACACCAGUGGCGAAGGCAGCUUACUAAACUGUGACUGACAUUGAUGCUCGAAAGUGUGGGUAUCAAACAGGAUUAGAUACCCUGGUAGUC